AAUUCCAAGACACUUAAACUAAUUUAAUUAAAAUGAAAUGUAGUCUGGUCGAUAAAAACCCAUCUAAAGAGUGAAUUAUUUUUUUUUAAUUUGUAUAAAAUGAUUAUCAGACGAAUCAUGAAUUUUUUGGGUUUUUUUUUAGAUCACCUAGACUUUUAUUAUAUAAUUUUCUUGAAGGAGACUAGAAUUUCCAGGCCAAACACGUUACACAAGUACAUGCGGUAAGUCGAUCGUCGGCCGCGCCGGGGCCCGGGCGCGACGGGCGGGCUAGCUAGCGCCGCUGAGCUAGCUGAGCCACCACCUGCCUCUGACAAGCGAAUAGCAUUCUAGGUAUGGAUUGGUCUCUGCAAUAUAUCAAGAUCAGCUGCCUCAUAAAUUAUCCAUCCCUUUCUUUCUGAAAAAUGUGGCCGGCUAAUUGAGCUGAAUUUAACUGCAGACGCAGAGCCUAACGUACCGGUACGUACCGGUAUACCGUAUUAUAUUUAUAAACUAAAGUUCAACUGUCUUGGGAUUUUGAGGUGAGCAGGAACUGAACUGCACAGCCCAUCCAAUGAUCCAUCACAUCACAUCAGCUGACAUAUUUCUCCAUUUGAUCGAGGACAUAAACUAACAAAGGAUGGUCAGAUUACGCAAGGUUCUAUCGGUACCCCAGAUGGCUGUGGCCUUGACAGUAGGAAUGGUCAGCGGUAUAUACAUCUACAGAUCACCUUUACAACAGUACAAACUUGAUACAGCAGAUGGCAAGAAGGGGCAGACACAGGAAAUGAGUAAAGGCAAGUUGGCAGAGAAGCCAUCAUCAACAGACUCUUCAAGAGAUGUACAGGACGUUUCAGAAAAACAGAGGUGAUGAACAGGAAUCUCGAGAGACAAUGCAGUUCAAUGAAUUGAUUGUAUCGGCUGAUGCAAAUUGUCAGUGUCCAUUUAUGGUCCAUGAAAUUAAUCUACUUUUCAUAUGCAAUAGCAAUUGUUUUAAUGUUUUCAUAGGUCAUUUGAGUGUAAGAGAAGCAUGAGCAGAACCAUGUAAUAUUAAGAAAUAAACCAAAAUUACAUUGAUAAUAAUAGUGUAGGGAUUGAUUUUGUACUUAUAUUUCUUUCCACUCUUAUUCAGGAAUCAUCCCCUUUUUUCUAAUAGAACAUCCCUCAUUUAUAUUCACCCUUUUCAUCCUAACUUCCUAUUCUUUAUGUACAGCUCUCUCUUAUACACUAACUGAUGUACACUCCUCACACAAGUUUCUUUUGUAUUAAAUCCACCAUCCUUCAUACAGCUUCCUUCACUCUCUCUCUCACUCUCCCUCUCCUUCCACCUCUCUCCUGAUUGGUUAUAAUGUUAGUUGAUGCACUCAAGCUUAGAUAAUAAUUUGCAUAUAGUUGAAUAGUCAAUAUAUAUCUUUUGUUUGUAUAUUUGAAUAUUCAGUUAUACUUUGUUAUAUUAAUUUGCAUUUGUAUGAAUAUUGAUGUGCCUUAACUAAUUUGCAUGGAAUGUUACCAAGAAUGCAACAAGGCUUUGAGUUAUUAAAAACUGGGAGUUGGCCAGUAAGUUCUCAACCCGUUAACAUGUCUGCUGGGCUGCCUCUGUGUUAAGAGUACUAGGAAUAAGAUAUUGACAGAACCCCAUACUACAAUAGUAUAGUGAGUGAUUGUAUUACCAACCGGCCAUGUAUUACCGAACGUGCGCCUCGUACGCGUCAGAAAAUAAUUUCAUACGCUCAAAACUUUGCAACAUCCUUCCAAAUGGAACUUGAAUAGAAAGAUGAUCAAAAAUGGUCAAAAACACAUUUUCAAAGUCUUAAUAUUCUAAAAAUAAUAAAAUAUGGUCAAAAUAGCUCAUCAGUGAUUUUGUUGUUUUCUCAAUUUUUCCGUAGAAAACACACGUUUGGUAAUACGAUACCUUUUUCAAGUGACCAAAUAUUUCACAUGUGAAGAGGGGUCUAAUUGGAAGCUAAUAUCGUAAAAAAGAAAAACGAUUUUGGCAAAUGUUUUACAUAUUUAUGUUUUGUAGGUAAUUGUGUAUUUAUGGUAAAAGUUUGAUGAAUUUUAUGAGAAUUAUGUGUUUGAUAUGAUUGAAUUCAUGAAAAGUGUUCGGUAAUACGAUCCACUACCAUACAUGUAGUGUAGGCCUAUUUUGCACAAUUUCUGUAUGGUUAUACUCAACUGUGCAUUACAAUCAGUAGUAACUUGGCAAUUCCAUAAAAUAUGUACGUUCAUGAAAUUUUCUGUCUCUGAUUUCUUGUUCUUUUGACAGUCUGUAAUGUUCUCAAAGGACUUGGUCAGUUUAUGAAGUGAAGUAAGACUUAAGAAAAAUAGGGGUCGGACAUACAAAAAGGUUGAUCAUUUUAUGGAAUAGCCCAACUAUUUGUUUGUGGUUUGAAUGUCUAUGCUUUGUAUCUCUUCUAUUUUUAGGUAAAAGAAAGGAGUUGCAGCAAACAAUCAUUUCAUGAAAAGGCUUUAAAAUCAAGGUUAAUUCUCACCAUAUUAUCAUAGAUCUAGAUCUGGUACAUUGAAAUAAACUUAUCUUUGUGAAAUCACGAAAUCUUAGCUGAAAACCUAUAAUUCUGAUGAUCACUAACACAAAAAGGAAUAUGUGGGACAAUGUAUUAAUAAUUGCUUUGAAAAAUACCAGAUAUUUGAUGGAAUUCUGUGCUUCUUUCUCAACAAUUGCACAUUUUCUUCCAGAGUCAUUUGGCAUAUAUUUUUUAUUAUUCUAUACAAACACUUGGGUGGUAAUUUUAUUGGAUUCUGAUCAUUCUGUUCAAACUCAUUUUGAGAUCACUACCACAACAUGCAUUUAUCUUAAACAUGGCCCUUGAGUUCCCAUACAUGGGCCGGGUGAUUUGAAAGCAUUCAUAUUUCAGAGUUACUGUUUAUUCAAUGUUGUCACUAGAAGGCCAUUACAAAGUGUGUGAUGGUAAAGUUUGGCUUUUACUGGUGUUCGGGUGGAGCUGUAGUUCAUGAGGGGACGUCCAGACUCAAUGCUGUGCACUGUACAUUGCCUGAUUUGAAUAAUUUAACAGCUAUGAACUCUGUUGAUAUAAAAUUAUCAUUUUUUUAAUAAUUGUGGUUAUGCCAAUUUCAACUAUGAUGAAGUUAGAAUUAUUUCAAUUUCCAUAACUGGCUACUGAUAUCAUUUAAUAUUAUUGUCAUAAUGAAGAUAUACUGUUUCCGAGCCACAUAAAUAAUAAUGCUCUAAUCAACAGGUUAUUUGAAUAUGGAUAUCAAUGCCUUAAUCUUGAUACAUGUAUUUUGAUAGAAAAUAUGAUUACAUUUUCCAAAAUGUAAUUUCAGUUAUGGCAAGAUAUAGGCAAGAGUGGGGUAAAUAAGGCCACCUGUUAGUUUUUAGCUCGCUGCUCAAGAAUGGUAGAUCAAAUGGAUUACUGUUUGUUGAGUAUUUGAGACAGUAAUCCUUAGCACAGAUUUGAGCAUAGAGAACCUCUCACAGUCCAAUGCACAUGGCCAGGAGGAGCACAAACCCAGCAGCACCUCAGAAUCAAAAUUUUGAAAGUAUCGGUAGCAUUGCCACUUUAGAGAGACGAGUACUGUACCUACCCAGUAGUGUGUAUUAACUUUUAUCUUAAUUAACAUGUACUUGUGAAAGGUAUUAUUGUGCAUGCCAGAACUGUAAAUUUCAUCACUUUCCUUCUUUUUUUUUCUGACUGGAUGCCCAUGAACAUAACAUUUUCGGUGGGGCAAAUGAGGCCCCCCAGAUUAAAACAUAAUUAGCACUGUGAUCUGAUAAAACAGUAAAAUGCAGAGUACAUUGUAGACAUCUCCACAUUUGCUUAUGUACACCAAAAGUGUUAAUUUUCAAUCGAACGUGUAGAAACAUGAUAAUGUAACUUUGACAGUUGAAAACACAAUCCAACAAUGAUUUUUUUCAUCAAUUUGGAUAAGAUUAAAUGAAUCCUAAAAUGGGGGCCUUUAGGAGAAUAAUUUAAAUUCAAUGCUGUGAUUGUUACUAGUAAGUAAAUGUUCAGUAAUUGUAUCAAACCAACUGAACUAUUUUUACUUUGAAUAUAGCGACACAAAGUAGUUUUUAAUCAUGGGGCCUCAUUUGCCCCACUUCAAUGGGGCAAAUAAGGCCUUCUGACAACAAUGUUUAAUGCCCAUUAAUAUACAAAUGAGAUUGAUUAGUUCUCAUAUUUCUAUUUGAAAAUGUAGGUCUGCUGUAGACCUAAUAUUGGACAUCUAAUCACAUUUCUGCAGGUAUGCAUUAAAAAGAUAUUAAUGGAAUUAUGAAAAAGGUGGCCUUCUUUACCCCACUCUCCCCUAAUCAUAGCAAUCAAAUUAUUUUGAAAUACAAGUUAAAUUGAUGUAUUGUAUUUCCCAAAAAAUACUGUUUGUAUUGUGGCAAGAUCUUGGCAGUAAUUGUAAAGAUGUCAUUUGAUACUUGCAUUAUAAUGUAAGUCAAUUAAAGAUGAUUAAUGAUACAUGAA